rnacentral:rRNA from 1 species
UAGCCGUAAACGAUACUCGCUAGGUGUCGGCCACGGUGCGACCGUUGUCGGUGCCGUAGGGAAGCCGUGAAGCGAGCCACCUGGGAAGUACGGCCGCAAGGCUGAAACUUAAAGGAAUUGGCGGGGGAGGCACCACAACGGGUGGAGCUUGCGGUUUAAUUGGACUCAACGCCGGGAAGCUCACCGGAUAAGACAGCGGAAUGAUUGCCGGGCUGAAGACUCUGCAUGACCAGCUGAGAGGUGGUGCAUGGCGUAGUCGUGU